rnacentral:lncRNA from 1 species
AAAUACAUAUUUUCUGCUGUAUGCAAGAAAUAAUAGGGCAUUUCAAAGAGCUAAGUUUUGAACUUAAAUUUGUAUUCUUGUUUAUUAAGCUUAUUUUUAAACAAAAAUUUAAAGCUAUUAUUCUUAGCAUUAACCUAUUUUUAAAGAUAACUUUUUGCUAUUGACUGUUUUUCUUUCCUGUUAAGUUUACACUAACACAUCCAAGAUAGACUGUUUUAAUAGUCUGUUACAGUUAAGAUGUAUUAAUAUCUGUAAUUCUAUGCCUUUUAUCAUAGCGAAACUAUGCAAAUGGUACAUGAUGGUUUGUGAUGGUUUAUGAUGAAACCCUAUCUUCCCAUGAUAAUUUACUCUUUGCUUCUUAGUCAGACUCCAGCACAGAGGCAGAUGAGCUGACGCCCCGGCUGCUAGUGGGCAUUCGCAGCCACUCAUUUGCAGCCCCAUAAGAAAAAGCAGAAGGCAGCCAUUUGCUUUUGGAAUACCCAGAUCCCAUCCAUGCAUCACUUUCCUCUAAAGGAAAAGAAAAUACUUAACAUCCAGGAAUUUUUAGAAUUCUCAACGAACUGAGAAGUAAUAAAAUGCUACCAGAUAUUUUUUUUAAGGUGGUGCCAAACAUAGAUGUCUCUGUCACGUGUUUAUAUUAGAAAUGUUUUCUAUUUAUGUUCCUUCUGACCCUUGGAAGGUUUAGUAGACACCACUAAGCCUUGGUGUCUGUUUUUGCAGAUAGCUAUUUCAAAACUGCCUUCUUAAUUGAUCAUGUUUUUAAAGUGACAGAAAAGAAGUAGCCUUCUGUAAUGUUUACUUAGUUGUGAAUUAAGUAGUAAAACCGCAAGUCUGGGUCAGUGUGAGUGUGUGUCCCCACCACAUUCCAACAAAAGGUAACAGUAAUUUAGUGUAACGUUUUCAGUAUUACUCGUGUUGUAGUGCAGGGAUCAGACAUGCAUGAGGCCUCGUGAAUGCUAAUCAGAGCAUUCCCUAUCUCUGACGUGCACACAUGCCUCUUGCUAUCUUUAUGUGUCUUAGAAGUAGUUCAGAACAACCUGUCGGUUACCAUCUGCACUCAUGAUGGUAAAAUGUUAGGUUCAGAGGGUGCUUCUUGGGACUCCAGCUCCUGGAGGACAGCUUCCCAGGUCCUUAAGGGGACAGCAGCAUGAGCUUAGCUGCGCUAAGAACAAACUUUCCUUGGAUGUGUUACCUUGGCAAGUGAGAAAUAUUUCUCGUCAGUACCCUUUGGCUAAAAUACGUUCAGCAGGAUGGGGACAGGCGGUGCUUCAGUGUGACAGGUAGUCUUUGUGUGCAUGCCCUACACUG